UUUAAUAGAAAUCAUUAUUAAUAAAAUCUGCUCAAUGAUAAAUUAAAUAGCCGCAGUUCAUGCUGUGCUAAGGUAGCAUAAUCACUCGUUUUUUAAUUAAAAACUAGAAUGAAAGAUUUAACAUUUCAACUAUUAUAUUAAAUUUUUUUUUUAAAAUUAUUAUAAAUGUAAAAAAACAUUUAUAUUUAAGAAAGACGAAAAGACCCUAAUGAACUUUACUUUAGUUAAACUGGGGUAGUUUAAUAAUUAUUACUUAAUAUAUACCAUAAACAUAAUUGACCUAAUUAAAUUAAUUUUAUGAUCAAGUUACCAUAGGGAUAACAGCGUAAUAAUUUUUUAUAGAUCUUAUAUAAAAAAACGAUUGCGACCUCGAUGUUGAAUUAAUUAAUCUACCACAUGUAAAAAUGUAAAAAGAUAGUCUGUUCGACUAUUAAACAAUCACAUG
rnacentral:rRNA from 1 species